GGGGUCGUCGCCGAGGGCUACUUUGUCGGAGAAUGGGAAUUCGUCUACCACUGAUUUUGGCACUGAGGCGAAAUUGACUGCAGAGACUCAAGAAAAACCUUCGGAGACAACUGCUCUGAUUUCAAGGUUAACUGAAGAGAAAAAUUCUGCUAUCCAACAGAACAACAAGCUUCGACAGGAACUGGAGGUGUUGAGGCGGGAAGUCAGCAAGCAGCAACAAGGCAGCUUCUCGUUCAUGUUUGUGGUGAUUGUCGCCUUGCUCGGGAUCCUUCUAGGUUACAUCGUGAAGACUUGAAUAACGUUUCGGGGCAUUAACCUACUUUGCCAGCCCACCCGUGGCAAUGGAAAAA
rnacentral:misc_RNA from 1 species